GUACACUCCUGCGGGAGGCAGCAGUGGGGAAUAUUGGACAAUGGGCGCAAGCCUGAUCCAGCCAUGCCGCGUGAGUGAUGAAGGCCCUAGGGUUGUAAAGCUCUUUCACCGGUGAAGAUAAUGACGGUAACCGGAGAAGAAGCCCCGGCUAACUUCGUGCCAGCAGCCGCGGUAAUACGAAGGGGGCUAGCGUUGUUCGGAUUUACUGGGCGUAAAGCGCACGUAGGCGGACUAUUAAGUCAGGGGUGAAAUCCCGGGGCUCAACCCCGGAACUGCCUUUGAUACUGGUAGUCUUGAGUUCGAGAGAGGUGAGUGGAAGUCCGAGUGUAGAGGUGAAAUUCGUAGAUAUUCGGAGGAACACCAGUGGCGAAGGCGGCUCACUGGCUCGAUACUGACGCUGAGGUGCGAAAGCGUGGGGAGCAAACAGGAUUAGAAACCCUAGUAGUCCCAUGA
rnacentral:rRNA from 1 species